rnacentral:rRNA from 1 species
GCUUAACACAUGCAAGUCGAACGAUGAACUCCAGCUUGCUGGAGGGAUUAGUGGCGAACGGGUGAGUAACACGUGAGUAACCUGCCCUUGACUCUGGGAUAAGCGCUGGAAACGGCGUCUAAUACCGGAUACGACCUACCCCGGCAUCGGGUGUGGGUGGAAAGUUUUUCGGUCAAGGAUGGACUCGCGGCCUAUCAGCUUGUUGGUGAGGUAAUGGCUCACCAAGGCGACGACGGGUAGCCGGCCUGAGAGGGUGACCGGCCACACUGGGACUGAGACACGGCCCAGACUCCUACGGGAGGCAGCAGUGGGGAAUAUUGCACAAUGGGCGAAAGCCUGAUGCAGCAACGCCGCGUGAGGGAUGACGGCCUUCGGGUUGUAAACCUCUUUUAGUAGGGAAGAAGGGCUUCGGCUUGACGGUACCUGCAGAAAAAGCACCGGCUAACUACGUGCCAGCAGCCGCGGUAAUACGUAGGGUGCAAGCGUUGUCCGGAAUUAUUGGGCGUAAAGAGCUCGUAGGCGGUUUGUCGCGUCUGCUGUGAAAACCCGAGGCUCAACCUCGGGCCUGCAGUGGGUACGGGCAGACUAGAGUGCGGUAGGGGAGAAUGGAAUUCCUGGUGUAGCGGUGGAAUGCGCAGAUAUCAGGAGGAACACCGAUGGCGAAGGCAGUUCUCUGGGCCGC